rnacentral:rRNA from 1 species
UACGGAGGGGGCAAGCGUUAUUCGGAAUUAUUGGGCGUAAAGGGCGCGUAGGCGGCUUGGCAAGUGGAAGGUGAAAUCCCUCGGCUUAACCGAGGAACUGCCCUCCAAACUGCUUCGCUUGAGACCGGGAGAGGUGAGUGGAAUUCCCAGUGUAGCGGUGAAAUGCGUAGAUAUUGGGAGGAACACCAGUGGCGAAGGCGGCUCACUGGACCGGUACUGACGCUGAUGCGCGAAAGCAUGGGGAGCGAACAGG